rnacentral:lncRNA from 1 species
AAAAGAAGGCCGACAAAGACAGGAAAAAUGAUUUAUCUUUAUGGCAUUAUAGCCUAUGUGUGAUUAAAGCUUUGAUUGAAUGGUAUAUUUAGCGCAUCUUUUAUCAAUGAAAAAUUUGUUAUUCCGAGUUACACUAUGAAAUAGCCAAUCAAGUAAACUUGCAUUUUUCUACAAUUACUCUAGUUACUAUUCAAACAAAAGAAAUCUUAUCCACGUUAUUGAGCUAGGUUUUAGUGGGUAUAACUUUUUUCUGUUUUUUUUUUCUUUUUCUCACUUUUUUAUUUUCUUCCAUUUUCACCUUAUUUAUUUUUCCCAUUUAUUCCAAAAGUUGCCAGUCGCACUCUUAGUAAAACUUUAAUGGGAUUUUACUAUUUCACUUUCAACUGAAGCCAUAGAAAAUGGUAUUUAGUAUUUACAAAUGGAACGUUCACGCGUUAACUAUAUGGACCAACUUCUCUUUAAUUGACAAAAAAAAUGGGCAUAUCUCUUGCAUAUUGUUUUGGCUCUAGCCGAUUAUUUUAAUAUGUGGAUCCAUGCCCUACAACAACAUAACAUUUUUGUUAUAAAAAAAAACAACAUAACAGUUUGUCUUCUUAUUUGAUACAAAUUAAAAGGAAAAAUAAAGUUGACAAGUGAAUAAAAUAGCGCUACCUUUCGGUGCACUCAAU